rnacentral:rRNA from 1 species
AUUGAACGCUGGCGGCAGGCCUAACACAUGCAAGUCGGACGGUAGCACAGAGGAGCUUGCUCCUCGGGUGACGAGUGGCGGACGGGUGAGUAAUGUCUGGGGAUCUGCCCGAUAGAGGGGGAUAACCACUGGAAACGGUGGCUAAUACCGCAUAACGUCGCAAGACCAAAGAGGGGGACCUUCGGGCCUCUCACUAUCGGAUGAACCCAGAUGGGAUUAGCUAGUAGGCGGGGUAACGGCCCACCUAGGCGACGAUCCCUAGCUGGUCUGAGAGGAUGCCCAGCCACACUGGAACUGGGACACGGUCCAGACUCCUGCGGGAGGCAGCAGUGGGGAAUAUUGCACAAUGGGCGCAAGCCUGAUGCAGCCAUGCCGCGUGUAUGAAGAAGGCCUUCGGGUUGUAAAGUACUUUCAGCGGGGAGGAAGGCGGUGAGGUUAAUAACCUCGCCGAUUGACGUUACCCGCAGAAGAAGCACCGGCUAACUCCGUGCCAGCCGCCGCAGUAA